rnacentral:misc_RNA from 1 species
AGAUUCAGACUACAGACGGGGCUUAG